rnacentral:rRNA from 1 species
AUACGGAGGGUGCGAGCGUUAAUCGGAAUUACUGGGCGUAAAGCGUGCGUAGGCGGUUUGCUAAGUCAGAUGUGAAAGCCCCGGGCUUAACCUGGGAACUGCAUUUGAUACUGGCAGACUAGAGUAUGCUAGAGGGGGGUAGAAUUCCUGGUGUAGCGGUGAAAUGCGUAGAUAUCAGGAGGAAUACCAGUGGCGAAGGCGGCCCCCUGGAUCAAUACUGACGCUGAGGUACGAAAGCGUGGGGAGCGAACAGAAUUAGAUACCCCAGUAGUCC